ensembl:misc_RNA 7SK 7SK RNA
AGAUGUAAGGGUGAUCUGGCUGCGACAUCUGUCAUCCCAUUGAUUGCCAGGGUCAGUCAGCCCAAUCGGCUGAUCUGGCUGGCCAGGUGGGUGUCCCCUUCCUCCCUCACCACUCUAUGUGCACCCCUCAUGAAACUACAUACGUGGUCAAAGAGGAUGGCCUUCCCUGAGUAGAGACUUUGGUUGAGGGUAUACCAGUAGCUGUGGUCCCCUGCUAGUACCUCCAAACAAGCUCUCAAAUAGCAGAUCAGACUUCUCUCUUCUCCUCUUAUUCUUAUUUGAAGAAUGGUUUUCAGUUUAUCUUUAUUUAUUUUCCAGUUGAAAUCCAUUUCCUGCUUUGACUUUUGAGAUUG